CGCCCCGGCCCUGGCUUGGCCUCAGAUCCCCAGCAAUGUAGCUGAGCACCGCCUCAGCGGAACGAGCAGAAUCGAAGGACAGCGAAGACAAACCCACGCCCUGGUGCCUCUGGAGAAGAAAUGAACCCACCAAAGGUCUGCCUGUCCCAAUAUGGGAGCCACUAGCCACAGCCCCGCAUGGCUCUUGAAGACCUGAACUGUGGCUAGUCCGAAUUGAGGUGUACUAUAAAAUACACAUUGUAUUUUUGAAGACUUAGUAUUAUUUUUGAUAUAUCGGAUUAAAUUAAAAUGCAUUAUUAAAAUUUUACUUUUUAAAAGAGA